GCUGGCGGCAGGCCUAACACAUGCAAGUCGAGCGGCCGUAGCAAUACGGCAGCGGCAGACGGGAGAGUAACACGUGGGAACGCGCCCUUCGGUCCGGGAUAACCCAGGGAAACUUGGGCCAAUACCGGAUACGCCCUUACGGGGAAAGAUUUAUUGCCGAAGGAACGGCCCGCGUCCGAUUAGCUAGUUGGUGAGGUAACGGCUCACCAAGGCGACGAUCGGUAGCUGGUCUGAGAGGAUGACCAGCCUCACUGGGACUGAGACACGGCCCAGACUCCUACGGGAGGCAGCAGUGGGGAAUAUUGGACAAUGGGCGCAAGCCUGAUCCAGCCAUGCCGCGUGGGUGAUGAAGGCCCUAGGGUUGUAAAGCCCUUUCAGCGGGGAAGAUAAUGACGGUACCCGCAGAAGAAGCCCCGGCUAACUUCGUGCCAGCAGCCGCGGUAAUACGAAGGGGGCUAGCGUUGCUCGGAAUUACUGGGCGUAAAGCGCACGUAGGCGGCUUUCUAAGUCGGGGGUGAAAUCCUGGAGCUCAACUCCAGAACUGCCUUCGAUACUGGAGAGCUCGAGUCCGGGAGAGGUGAGUGGAACUGCGAGUGUAGAGGUGAAAUUCGUAGAUAUUCGC
rnacentral:rRNA from 1 species